AUGUUAGGGUCCAUAGGUGGCUGUGUUAGU
rnacentral:piRNA from 1 species